rnacentral:rRNA from 1 species
GACGAACGCUGGCGGCGUGCUUAAUACAUGCAAGUAGAACGCGGAGGGAGGAGCUUGCUUCGCUGGACGAGUUGCGAACGGGUGAGUAACGCGUAGGUAACCUGCCCGGUAGCGGGGGAUAACUAUUGGAAACGUUAGCUAAUACCGCAUAAUAGUUGAUGUUGCAUGAUAUUUGCUUAAAAGGUACACUUGCAUCACUACUAGAUGGCUCUGCGUUGUAUUAGCUAGUAGGUGAGGUAACGGCUCACUAAGGCGAGGAUACAUAGCCGACCUGAGAGGGGGAUCGGCGACACUGUGAGUGGGACACGGCCCACACUGCGACGGAGAGCAGCAGUAUAGAAUCUUGGGAAAUAGACGGGGGGCAGACCGAGCAACGCGGCGUGAGUGAAUAAGGUUGUCGGGUGGUAAAGAACUGUUGUAAGGGAAUAAAGAGUGUGAGCGUGGGAAGAUCACGCAGUGACGGUAUCUUACCAAGAAGCGACGGCUAACUACGUG